UACGUAGGGUGCAAGCGUUAUCCGGAUUCACUGGGUUUAAAGGGUGCGUAGGAGGGCAGGUAAGUCAGUGGUGAAAUCCCCAAGCUUAACUUGGGAACUGCCAUUGAUACUAUCUGUCUUGAAUACUGUGGAGGUUAGCGGAAUAUGUCAUGUAGCGGUGAAAUGCUUAGAUAUGACAUAGAACACCAAUUGCGAAGGCAGCUGGCUACACAAAUAUUGACACUGAGGCUCGAAAGCGUGGGGAUCAAACAGG
rnacentral:rRNA from 1 species